rnacentral:misc_RNA from 1 species
GACAGAGGCCUCAAGCGUUAGGCGGAAUCACUGGGCUUAAAGCGUGUGUAGGUGGAUUGGCAAGUGCCUUGUGAAAUCCCACGGCUCAACCGUGGAACUGCUGGGCAUACUGCUGAUCUUGAGCCAUCUAGGGGCAGCUGGAACAAACGGUGGAGCGGUGAAAUGCGUAGAUAUCGUUUGGAACGCCAAAGGCGAAAGCAGGCUGCUGGGGAUGUGCUGACACUGAGACACGAAAGCCAGGGGAGCAAACGGG